rnacentral:rRNA from 1 species
CAGCAGCCGCGGGAAUACGAAGGGUGCAAGCGUUAAUCGGAAUUACUGGGCGUAAAGCGUGCGUAGGCGGUUUGUUAAGUCUGUUGUGAAAUCCCCGGGCUCAACCUGGGAAUGGCAAUGGAUACUGGCAAGCUAGAGUGUGUCAGAGGAUGGUGGAAUUCCCGGUGUAGCGGUGAAAUGCGUAGAGAUCGGGAGGAACAUCAGUGGCGAAGGCGGCCAUCUGGGACAACACUGACGCUGAGGCACGAAAGCGUGGGGAGCAAACAGGAUUAGAUACCCCGGUAGUCCCUGUCUCUUAUAC